rnacentral:rRNA from 1 species
UACCUGGUGUGAUCCUGCUAGUGGCAUGUACUUGUCACAUGGAGGUACACACGCCUAAGUGCACUCGGCUGGUACCCAGAAAGUGCAAAACACUCAUUAAAUCAGUUAUGGUUCCUCUGGUUACUCGCUCCUCUGCUACUCGAGUUAACUGAUAAUUCUAGAAAAACGUGUGUGACAGGCGCUGACCACCUUCACGUGGGGUGGGGGGUGGGGGGGGGAAUACAUGCAUUUACCAAAUCAAAGCCAACCCCGUCAGCCUUCCUCAGCUGCAGCUUUGAUGACUAGGUAACCUCAGGCUGAUCAAAUGUCCCUCCCCAUGGUGGUGAUGACUCAGUCAAAUAUCUGUCUUAUCGACUCUCGAUGGCAGUUACCAUGCCUACCAUGUGACCAGGGGUGAUGGGGAAUCAGGGUUCAAUUCCUGGGAGGGAGCCUGAAAAACAGCUACUACAUCCAAGGAUGGCAGUGAGUAUGCAAAUUACCCACUCCCCACCUAGAGAGAUGGACAAAAACCACCUGAUUUUCUAGGCCCCUGGAACGAGCCCACUUUAAGGAGGAUCCUUUGGAGGGAAAGUCUGGUGCUGGCAGCUGCAGCAGCUCAAGCUCCAGUGGCAUAUAUUAAAUCGAGACUUCAGGAGUAGGUCAGCAGUUCCCGCCCCUUGCCUCUCAGCACCCCCUUGAUGCUCUUAGCCGAGUGACCAGCUGGAGCCUGAGCCUUACUCUGAAAAUAUUAGUGUUCAAAGCAGGCCCUAGCCUGCUGGAUAGCGGACCAGCGUUAUUAGUCGGUUUAGGGGACUGAGGCCAUGGUUACGAGGAAUGGCCAAGGACAAUGUAUUGGGCUUAUGGAGGUGAAAUUCUUGGACCAGCACAAGAUGGACCCAGAGCAAAAGCAUUUGCCAAGAAUGUUCUCAUUAAUGAGAACCAAAGUCAGAGGUGGAAAGAUCAGAUGCGUGGUAGUUCCAACUACAAACGGCCUGGACACAGACAGCCUUGAGAGGUUGACAGCUCUUUCUUGAUUCUGUGGGUGGUGUAGGGCUGUUCUUAGUUGGUGGAGCGACUGUCCCGUUAAUUCCGAUAAACAAGGAGACUCUAGCGUGCUAACUAGUUACGUGACCCCCCAAGCAGUCUGCGUCCCUCAACUUCUUAGAGGGAAAAGUCUUCAGCCACCCGGGAUUGAGCAAUAACAAGCCUGUGAUGCCCUGAGAGGUCGGGGCUGCGUGCGCGUGCACCACGCGGACUGGUUCGGCGCGCGCCUACCCAACGCCAGCAGGUGUGAGGACCCGCUGAACCCCACUCGUGAUGGGGAUCCCGGCAUGCGGUUAUUCCCCAGUUAUUCCCCAUAACCGAGGAAUUCCCAGUACGUGAGGGGCAUAAGUCCCUGACCUUUGUCCACACCGCUGGUCGCUACCACCGAAUAGAUGGUUUACAGAGACCCUCAGGUCGUUCGCCACGGCCCUGGCGGAGCGCUGAGCAGACGGUAGAACUUCGGAGGAGGUGAAAAUGCUAAGGACGUUUCCGCAGGUGGCCCGGCCGGGAAGGGUCAUCA